rnacentral:rRNA from 1 species
GAUUUCUGGUACUGUGAGCUUGGUCCACCUUAGCCUCUCUCACUAGUCAAAUAGUGGGGGAGGUUAUCAACGGGUGCGUAUCGAUGCUCGCAUACCAUCCUUCUAGAGAGUAUGCCUACCCUUCACUGGGCUGGGUGUACGAUCUAGAUCGUUUACUUUGAAAAAAUUAGAGUGUUUAAAGCAGGCGUUAUCGCCACUGAAUACAUUAGCAUGGAAUAAUAAGAUAGGGCUUUGGUUCUAUUUUGUUGGUUUCCUAGAACUAAAGUAAUGAUUGAUAGGGAUAGUUGGGGGUGCUAGUAUUCAACGGCCAGAGGUGAAAUUCUUGGAUUCGUUGAAGACUAACUAAUGCGAAAGCAUU